UGUUUAGAUUGCAGCUCUCUAUGAAUCAGAAUCGCAUUUCUAGUGUGAAAUAAUAAAUUAUGAUGGAUUAACAUCUCUCCCUCUAUGACAUUGGUCAUUAGAGAGAGAGAGAGAGAGAGAGAGAGAGAGACCGACUGACUGACUGACUUCUUGGGAAAGGGUAUCUUUUCAAGAGAGGCAGUACUGUCUUAAUGCACUAUUUCAUCCAUGAGCGUUGGAGCAAAAGGUAAAUUAAAUUACAUUAAACUCAGAGAUUCCUGCUCCUUCGCUGUGUAAACUGCACUGCAUUGCUGAAGCAGAAGCUCAAUCCAGAUAGAGGUGUCUUUAGUGAUGUUUAACAUGCAUCUCCAUUCAGGCUGCACUGGCAGGAGAGGGCGGCUCUACAUUAGGCGUUGUGGAGAUCUGUUUUUCAAAUACAAGCCGACCCGUUGAGCACCUUGGCAACAUCAAUGACGCGCGGAUAAUUUCGAGGUUACGAAAACUCUGGAAUGCUGAACUUACACAACGCAAUUUGAGAAACCACAAACUCCACAGCUGCGGAUUCUGAAGUGAUUAAAAGCUUUGGCAGCGAUAUAGUUGGACAGCAUUUUCUUCCUGGCUCCGUUGGAUGGGGUUGAGAAAGAAACCUUGGCACUUCCGGAAGACAGAGUGACACAUUCCCAUAAACACAGAGGUCUGGGGCAGGACGCUGUACUCCACUGCCUACAGUCUGGAAGGCACUGCUGAGUGUGGAUUACUGAAAGGGGAGAUGCUACUGCUACAUGAGCCACAGCAGAGACUUUGCCUGUUAUUUUGCUAUUUGUAAUACAUACUGUAUCAUAUUAUUGUCAAAGACAAGUCAAAUGUAAGUUUGAUUUUGGCCAUUGUUAUUUUCUAAUUACCUGGUAGAAAGUAAAGUUGCAGUAAAAAUGAAUUGACUUCCUUAAAUAUGAGAUUUUGUUUUGUGAUUUAAGAUGAGCUAGAAACGAUGAACAAUUUCGGAAAAAAUAAUUACGUACACAAGUUACCUCAAAAACAUCACUAAAAUCUCUUCUCAGCCUGAACACUACUGCGUUCCUUACCCCUAAUCCUUACUUUCGCCUCACUUUAAUACAUAAAACUAUGAGUCUCGCAUCCAAAAAGAGAAAACAACUUUGUUUUAUCAAAAAAAACCAAAAGCCCACUGCUGUACUAACCCUAAUGCUAGCCUUAAAAAAUAUGGUUCUGUCAUCAAGCGGGAUGGAGAGAAGGCCGAUGUGCCCGCUGCCAGGUUCGUUCUUGUUAUUUUGCGUUUUUUGCUGAGUCUGCAGUCUCUGCUCCUGUAAGCUCUACAUGCUGUGCCCUUGGGACGUUCACUAUUGCACCCAUAACCUUGAAUGCACUGUCUUCCAGAGCAGGUUGAACAGAAGUUGACUCGCAACGGGUUUUUUUCCCCCAAAAGAAACUUCUCUACUUUUUAAAAUGACUACAUGUUCUUUGUUUAAUGCGUACAUGUGCAUAUGGCAAAUAGCUACAACCUAAUUAUUAAACUGUCGCCUCACAGCAAGAUGGUCCUGGGUUUGAAUCCUGGCCUGGGCCUUUCCGGAGGAGCCAUCUUCUGAUUUGCAUAUUCCUGUUGUCCCCCCAUUUACAAGGAUGCUACAUUUUUCAGUUCUCUGUCUGCACAUGUAGGCCUACAUAUUUUUUGAGCCAUAGGCCAUUGCAUAGGCCAUCAGCACUAACAUCAAACAAAAAAAAUAACUAGACAAAUGGCCAGAUUACUCUGGUGAUGGUCAUUGUUAGAAAUAUAAAUGAAUCCUUCCUGGUGCAAUUUGAGAGGAAAAAGAAUAAAACAAAGAUCUUUAUCCUCCACAAAAUACAUUGGAUUGGGAUGUUUGUCCAGUUAAAUUCCUAUUGUUUCCAAACCGGAAUGUUCCAGGGAAUGACAGAAGCCUUAUCACGCAAACACCACAGACCCGGCUUUAAUGUAAAAUUGUAAAAAAAAAAAACCUUAUCAUAAGAUAAGUAAGGACAAUCAGAUGGGGAGAAAAAGCAAAUGUCUCUGAAUUCCAUCAGUCAGUGAGCACAUUCGCUGGCGAUGUCAGAUUCAGACGGGAGAUGGAAGCCCCAGAUUUAUGAAGCACUGUCACGAAAAGCAGUCUUAAACUAUGAAAGGAAAGGAAGGGCGUUUGUUCGAUGGGACCCUUUUUUUGCCGUAUUUUAGUUUCCUUUCCUGUGAACUGAAGGGGAAUUAAUUUGUCAUCCGGACAGAUGCAUUCACAUUUUGGGAAAGACUUCAGUGGAGUGUGCUCUCGCCUGAAAACUGGGGGAAAGCCGCUCGUCACGGCUGAAAAGCCCCCAUCCCAUCUUCCCCAAUUUGGCGCCCGUCCCUUUUCCAUCUCCCG